AUGUAAACCCCUACACAUAUAAUAUUAUAAUUAUAUGGAGAGAGCUUAGCCACUACAGCUUUGUUCCUUUAAUACAGCUGCUGACCCUGCUGCUGCUGCUGCUGCUGCUGAUGAUGAUGAUGUGUCACCAGGUCACCUAGCAUCCACAGGUCCAACGAGUUGUUCGACUCACCACCACCCCUUCCAUUCACCUCACUCGGCUCCUCCUCAUCCAGACCCAGGAACGAUUCCAAGCUCGAUAUCUGCUCCUUCAGCUCAUACUCACCACCCACCUCCUUCUUUCCAUAAAUCUCGCCACCCUCAAACGGAUCACAGUUACAAUAAUUUCCACUGCUCCCCAAACUCGACUGAGUCGACUCGGCUGGACCAACAACGCACCGCUUCUUCAAAGGCGGUGUUGCAGGAGCUGGAACUGAAGAAGGCGGUAAUUCCGGAAAGUUGAGCUUGGCUUUGCCGCCUCUGAUGCGCCUGGCGGCGUCGUCGUAGGCUCUGGCGGCUUCCUCAGCUGUGUUGUAAGUGCCUAGCCACACCCGGACGCCUUUCUGCGGAUCACGAAUCUCUGCUGCCCA
rnacentral:lncRNA from 1 species